rnacentral:rRNA from 1 species
GGUUAAGCGAUUAAGCGUACACGGUGGAUGCCCUGGCAGUCAGAGGCGAUGAAGGGCGUGCUAAUCUGCGAUAAGCGCCGGUAAGGUGAUAUGAACCGUUAUAACCGGCGAUACCCGAAUGGGGAAACCCAGUGUGACUCGUCACACUAUCAUUAACUGAAUCCAUAGGUUAAUGAGGCGAACCGGGGGAACUGAAACAUCUAAGUACCCCGAGGAAAAGAAAUCAACCGAGAUUCCCCCAGUAGCGGCGAGCGAACGGGGAGGAGCCCAGAGCCUGAAUCAGCAUGUGUGUUAGUGGAAGCGUCUGGAAAGGCGCGCGAUACAGGGUGACAGCCCCGUACACAAAAGACGCAUGUGCUGUGAGCUCGAUGAGUAGGGCGGGACACGUGGUAUCCUGUCUGAAUAUGGGGGGUACCAUUCCUUCCAAGGCUAAAUACUCCUGACUGACCGAUAGUGAACCAGUACCGUGAGGGAAAGGCGAAAAGAACCCCGGCGAGGGGAGUGAAAAAGAACCUGAAACCGUGUACGUACAAGCAGUGGGAGCACAGGUUUACCUGUGUGACUGCGUACCUUUUGUAUAAUGGGUCAGCGACUUAUAUUCUGUAGCAAGGUUAACCGUAUAGGGGAGCCGCAGGGAAACCGAGUCUUAACCGGGCGUUAAGUUGCAGGGUAUAGACCCGAAACCCGGUGAUCUAGCCAUGGGCAGGUUGAAGGUUGGGUAACACUAACUGGAGGACCGAACCGACUAAUGUUGAAAAAUUAGCGGAUGACCUGUGGCUGGGGGUGAAAGGCCAAUCAAACCGGGAGAUAGCUGGUUCUCCCCGAAAGCUAUUUAGGUAGCGCCUCGUGAAUUCAUCUCCGGGGGUAGAGCACUGUUUCGGCUAGGGGGUCAUCCCGACUUACCAACCCGAUGCAAACUGCGAAUACCGGAGAAUGUUAUCACGGGAGACACACGGCGGGUGCUAACGUCCGUCGUGAAGAGGGAAACAACCCAGACCGCCAGCUAAGGUCCCAAAGUCAUGGUUAAGUGGGAAACGAUGUGGGAAGGCCCAGACAGCCAGGAUGUUGGCUUAGAAGCAGCCAUCAUUUAAAGAAAGCGUAAUAGCUCACUGGUCGAGUCGGCCUGCGCGGAAGAUGUAACGGGGCUAAACCAUGCACCGAAGCUGCGGCAGCGAACGUAUCACUUAAAGCGAUUCAGCGGGUUACGAUUGACGGAGCGAAGCGACGUCAAAGCGUAUACAAAGUCGAGUCGGUUUAAGGAUACGUUCGUUGGGUAGGGGAGCGUUCUGUAAGCCUGUGAAGGUGGCCUGUGAGGGUUGCUGGAGGUAUCAGAAGUGCGAAUGCUGACAUAAGUAACGAUAAAGCGGGUGAAAAGCCCGCUCGCCGGAAGACCAAGGGUUCCUGUCCAACGUUAAUCGGGGCAGGGUGAGUCGACCCCUAAGGCGAGGCCGAAAGGCGUAGUCGAUGGGAAACGGGUUAAUAUUCCCGUACUUGGUGUUACUGCGAAGGGGGGACGGAGAAGGCUAUGUUGGCCGGGCGACGGUUGUCCCGGUUUAAGCGUGUAGGUGUGUGUUCCAGGUAAAUCCGGUUCACUUUAACACUGAGGCGUGACGACGAGGCACUACGGUGCUGAAGCAACAAAUGCCCUGCUUCCAGGAAAAGCCUCUAAGCAUCAGGUAACAUCAAAUCGUACCCCAAACCGACACAGGUGGUCAGGUAGAGAAUACCAAGGCGCUUGAGAGAACUC